GGCGGGGUGGCAGAGUGGUUAUGCUACGGUCUGCAAAGCCGUACACGGCGGUUCGAUUCCGUUCCCCCGCCUCCA
rnacentral:tRNA from 2 species